rnacentral:rRNA from 1 species
CAAGCGGUGGAGCAUGUGGUUCAAUUCGACGCAACGCGAAGAACCUUACCUGGGCUCGAAGCGCAGUGGACUGGGGUGGAAACAUCCCUUUCUCGCAAGAGACUGCUGCGGAGGUGCUGCAUGGCUGUCGUCAGCUCGUGUCGUGAGAUGUUGGGUUAAGUCCCGCAACGAGCGCAACCCUUAUCCCUAGUUGCCAUCGGGUCAAGCCGGGCACUCUAGUGAAACCGCCCCGGAUAACGGGGAGGAAGGUGGGGAUGACGUCAAGUCCUCAUGGCCUUUAUGUCCAGGGCUACACACGUGCUACAAUGGCCGAUACAAACCGUCGCAAACCCGCGAGGGGGAGCUAAUCGGAAAAAGUCGGCCCCAGUUCGGAUUGCAGUCUGCAACUCGACUGCAUGAAGCUGGAAUCGCUAGUAAUCGCGGAUCAGCACGCCGCGGUGAAUACGUUCCCGGGCCUUGUACACACC